CCUACGGGUGGCAGCAGUGGGGAAUAUUGGGCAAUGGGCGCAAGCCUGACCCAGCAACGCCGCGUGAAGGAAGAAGGCUUUCGGGUUGUAAACUUCUUUUGUCAGGGACGAAGCAAGUGACGGUACCUGACGAAUAAGCCACGGCUAACUACGUGCCAGCAGCCGCGGUAAUACGUAGGUGGCAAGCGUUAUCCGGAUUUAUUGGGUGUAAAGGGCGUGUAGACGGCAGUGCAAGUCUGGAGUGAAAGGCGGGGGCUCAACCCCCGGACUGCUCUGGAAACUGUACGGCUGGAGUGCAGGAGAGGUAAGUGGAAUUCCUAGUGUAGCGGUGAAAUGCGUAGAUAUCACACAGAACACCGAUUGCGAAGGCAUCUCACGAAUCCGCGAUUGACGCUGAUGCACGAAAGCGUGGGUAUCAAACAGGAUUAGAUACCCCAGUAGUC
rnacentral:rRNA from 1 species